AAGGAAGGAAGCGAAGAAGAAGAAGAAGAAACAAU
rnacentral:sRNA from 1 species